UACGUAGGGUGCGAGCGUUAAUCGGAAUUACUGGGCGUAAAGCGUGCGCAGGCGGUUCGCCAAGUCAGAUGUGAAAUCCCCGGGCUCAACCUGGGACCUGCAUUUGUGACUGCAUCGCUGGAGUACGGCAGAGGGGGAUGGAAUUCCGCGUGUAGCAGUGAAAUGCGUAGAUAUGCGGAGGAACACCGAUGGCGAAGGCAAUCCCCUGGGCCUGUACUGACGCUCAUGCACGAAAGCGUGGGGAGCAAACAGG
rnacentral:rRNA from 1 species